UACGUAGGGGCAAGCGUUGUCCGGAAUCAUUGGGCGUAAGCGCGUGUAGGCGGCUUGGUAAGUCUGCUCUGAAAGCCCGGGGCUCAACCCCGGGAGGCGGGUGGAUACUGUCAAGCUCGAGUCCGGAAGAGGAGUGUGGAAUUCCUGGUGUAGCGGUGGAAUGCGCAGAUAAUCAGGAGGAACACCAAUAGCGAAGGCAGCUCCGCUG
rnacentral:rRNA from 1 species